GUAUCAAUAUUCACAACCACAACAACAUACCCUAAAGUUACAACUAGUACACCUGUAUCAAUACUCACAACCACAACAACAUACCCUAAAGUUACAACAACUAGUACACCUGUAUCAAUAUUCACAACUACAACAACAGCCCCUACAUUUACAUCAACUAGUACACCUGUAUCAAUACUUAUAACCACAACAACAGGCCCUACAUUUCCAACAAUUAGUACAACACCUGUAUCAAUUACCACAACAACUGUCCCCAAAGUUACAGAAACUAGUACACCUGUAUCAAUUACCACAACAACUGUUCCCAAAGUUACAGAAACUAGUACACCUGUAUCAGUUACCACGACAACUGUCCCCAAAGUUACAGAAACUAGUACAUCUGUAUCAGUUACCACGACAACUGUCCCCAAAGUUACAGAAACAAGUACACCUGUAUCAGUUACCACAACAACUGUCCCUAAAGUUACAGCAACUAGUACAACACCCAUAUCAUUUACCACGACAACUGCCCCUAAAGCUAUGACAACUAGUACAAAGCCUGAUCUAAUUUCCACAACAGCAACUAUCCCUGAAGUUACAACUGGUAAAACAUUACAAUUGAUCACCACAACCACAAGUGUUCCUAAAGAUGCAACGACAGCAGCAACAGUUGUAAUAACCCCAACAACAGUCUCUAAAAUUGUAUUAACUAAUACAACAGCUGCAUUUACUACCACAAACACAACAACAGUUUCUGAAUUUACCACAAAUACUACAACUACAUUAGUAACCACAAAAACUGCUGUAGUUACCAGUAACACAACUUGUUGUGAAUGUUGUUUGGGACUUUCUACACAAAUGCUUACAACGACAUGUCCAACAGAAGCAACAACAACACCUGAGCCACUGACAGUAAAACGGCUGAGUUUCAGAUCUGCUACAGCAACUUUCACCACUGAUUUACAGAAUCCAUCAUCAGCGGCCUUUCAAAGUCGAGCUGCACUGCUAAAGUCUACACUUGAGCCAUUUUUUCAGCAAGCAUUUUCCUCAUUCCGGUUUUUGACAGUGAUUUUAUUCAGAAAUGGAUCCAUCAUUCAAGAAAUGAAUCUCUAUUAUAAUUCAAAUUCCGUUCCUUCGAACUCUGCAAUUGCAGAUGUUUUGAUAAAGGCAGCACCUUCAAUUACAGCCUUUGACAUUGACCUUAAUUCUAUCACUGUUGAUGGCACAAUUGUGUCACAUGGAGUGAGUCACAAGAUCAGUCUCGUCACUGCAUCCUGCAUAGUCCUCUUGUCAUGGCUACUGUGAAGUCAGUUGUGGCUUCUCUGUAAAUUACUGUACAAUAAAGACCAACUGGG